rnacentral:lncRNA from 1 species
UCCCCCCGCCGCCGUACCGCCGUGCCUCCGUGCCGCCGCCCGGGCCGCUUCCUGCGCCGGGGAGCGACGUGUCGGCGCGGCGGUGCGCAGUAGGCCGCAGGUCCUCGGCUGCCGCGCAGCCACAGCAGCAGGCGGUUCUCGUAUGAUGCAACCGGCAGAGAUAUGACGACGGCCUUCUUCAGGUGCUCCGGGAGUGUUUUCACCAAGAGCUUCGUGGUGAAACUGAAGUCACGGAGGAGUCAUCACGGAACUGCUUAGAGCUGAUGUGGUGAAGGUACUGCUCUCUGCUCAGGUCUCCUGCUUUGCUGACUGUACAACAGCCAAGCACUGGUCAUACAUUUAUCAUCUCAGACGUUUUAUUCCACGCUGCAUGGCUGUGCUCAGGGCAGUAAGGAUAGGCAGCAGGUGUAAUUUCACAUCAUCCUUGAAGGGAAUUAAUGCAGUGAGCACAGAAUAGCUUUAAUAUCUUGGAGGAGCGCAGCAGAUGUAGCUGUAAUCCUGUGAAUAUUUCCAUUGUUACCCCAGUAUCUGAUCCCCUAGGUUUUCUUACUGUGUUAGUUUAACACGCGUUGCUAGACAAAACGUGAGUAAAUGACAGUGAUUGCUGGAGAGAGCAGAGUUAAUCUAACACGGUUUUAAUCAUAUGUCGCUCAAAUAUUGAUGUCAUUGUUACCCAGACACACGUUCCUAUUGCUGCACAUAUGCUGCUCUAAGCAGGAGGCUCAGAGGGCUCCCGCUGCAUAAGUCCUGCUGCACGGCUUUAUGAGGUAGCAGUAGUUAGCUGCAGUGCACCUGCAGGGGAGGCUGGAAGAGCUGAGGUCUCCUGCAGCAGUUCAGUUCCACGUUGACGUUGAAUGUCACUGUUUCUUGUUACCUUAAAUCAGCAGAUUUGUCUUUCACCGCAUUGUUUAAAACGCUGAUUCAGAUGGCUGGUUAUAAAUCUGUUUGCCUGUGAAGUCUUUGGACAGAUAGCACAAAGGAAGACGUGUUGGCGAGCAAGUGAAGAUGUGUUUUUCACUUGUCUGAUGGUGAAGGGGCUGGGGUGUGGGGCAGGGUGUGUGCUUCACCUAGACUUCUCACGUUUCCCUUUGUCAUUUGGGUUUAAUGCUGAUAUCUGUGUUCAGUUGUCUCUUCUCCCUCUCUUUGAAGCACUGCCUCCCACUGUAAGGACUGCAGUUUGAGGGAUGCCUGGCUUUGGCAGUACAGAUAGGUUUAUUUCUGUGCGAACGCGGCUGUUCACGGAGGUUAAUUAUCCAUAAGGCCUGACUUAUGAGUCUACCAGAAUAGCUGCUAACUAUGAAUAAUUUAGUGCAGCAUCGUAUUGCUUGCCACUUAAGAAGGCCUCUCUGUCUGUGAAUCUUUAUAUCUUGUUGAAAGCCACUCAAUAGCAUGAAGGUUACCGCUUGCGUUGGCAUUUUAUUGUUCUCUUUUUGCUCUGUUUUAAGAGUUUGUCAGUGUGUAAAGGCAAUGUGAACGUUUUAGGGUGAUGAGCCAUAAAAAAUACCCAUAGCAGAGUAGUUUGUGUCUGAAAACUCAAAGUACUGAACCUGUCUUCAGUGUUACGUUGACCUUUGUGUUUACUUUAAAGCUUGCCCUUGCAUAAUGCAGUUAGCAUUGUGGCUAUGGUGUUUUAUGUGCUUCAGACAAGUCGCAUCUUAGGAUAUUCUUUGCAGCAAUACUUUGUGACGGAGAAAGGAUAGAAAAUUAAAGACUUGAGAGCAAGAGUGCAGGUUUGCAGUGCUUCCUGCAAAUGGCUGUAGCUGCUCAUGUGUCUGGCUAGAGCAGACCUCGAGUCAUGUUACAGAGGCUCUUCUGGGGAGAAAAUCUGCCAAUGCAGGACUUUGAAGCAGCUCUGAUGUAGUGGUUGGCAACCCUCCCUGCAGGGGAGCUGGAACUCGAUCCUUGAGGUCCCUUCAACCUAAGCCAUUCCAUGAUUAGGGAAGAGCUUCACAAACAAAGAAUAGGGGUUGAGAAUGUCAAGGGAAGAGCAGAAGAACGCGCACCUCUAACAGAAGUGGUAACAAAGUUCUCUUUGGCACAUUUGGGGGAUGGAGGCUGAUGCUGUAUGUUGUCCGAGGAAGGUGUGGCAGAUUGUUACACCCAGGCUUCCCUUUGUGCUCCCAUUCUCUAUCUCAAUUAGUAAGUUCAAUACUGACUACGUGGGAAACAACCACCACUCCCUUGAAGAGGAGAAGAUGUGUUUCCUGCUCUUCUGCACACUUACAGAAAGGGUUCUGCUGAGCUGUUUUCACCUCUUCAGCAGUCACUUAUGGCACACAGAAGCAUGCUUACCGUAUUGGCAGCAGAAGGGAGCAAGGCACUUGUCUAUCUGCCAUAAGUGCAGAUGGCUGGACGUCCGACCAGCACUCCUGCUGCAGUGCUUGUUGCUUUGUGCUCCUGCUCACCCAGUGCUCUCCUAAUGCUGCGUGUGUCUUAGCUCAUCCUUAGACUUGUUUUGCAGGAUGCUCCCAGCCUAGUUUAGAAAUAGGAUUUUUCCAAAAGAGAUUUGCUGCAGCGUAAGUGCUGCUGUUAGAAGUUGGUAGUUAAAUGCCAG